GACCUCGGAUCAGGUAGGGAUACCCGCUGAACUUAAGCAUAUCAAUAAGCGGAGGAAAAGAAACCAACAGGGAUUGCCUCAGUAACGGCGAGUGAAGCGGCAACAGCUCAAAUUUGAAAUCUGGCCUUAAGCGGGGUCCGAAUUGUAAUUUGCAGAGGGCGUUUCGGGCGACGCGCCGGUCUAAGUCCCUUGGAACGGGGCGUCAUAGAGGGUGAGAAUCCCGUAUGUGACCGGCGACCGAGCCUGUGUGAAACCCCUUCGACGAGUCGAGUUGUUUGGGAAUGCAGCUCAAAGCGGGUGGUAAAUUUCAUCUAAAGCUAAAUACCGGCCAGAGACCGAUAGCGCACAAGUAGAGUGAUCGAAAGAUGAAAAGCACUUUGGAAAGAGAGUCAAAAAGUACGUGAAAUUGUUGAAAGGGAAGCGCUUGCAACCAGACCUGCCCGCGGGUGAUCAGCCGUCCUUCGGGGCGGUGCACUCACCCGCGAUCAGGCCAGCAUCGGUUCGGGCGGCCGGAUAAAGGCCUUGGGAACGUGGCUCCCCUCGGGGAGCGUUAUAGCCCAGGGUGCAAUGCGGCCCGCCCGGACCGAGGACCGCGCUUCGGCUAGGAUGCUGGCGUAAUGGUUGUAAGCGGCCCGUCUUGAAACACGGACCAAGGAGUCGACCAACCGUGCGAGUGUUUGGGCGUCAAACCCACACGCGCAAUGAAAGUGAACGGAGGUGGGAACCCCUCGCGGGGCGCACCAUCGACCGAUCCAGAUGUCUUCGGAUGGAUUUGAGUACGAGCAUGGCUGGUCGGACCCGAAAGAUGGUGAACUAUGCCUGGAUAGGGUGAAGCCAGAGGAAACUCUGGUGGAGGCUCGCAGCGGUUCUGACGUGCAAAUCGAUCGUCAAAUUUGGGCAUAGGGGCGAAAGACUAAUCGAACCAUCUAGUAGCUGGUUCCAGCCGAA
rnacentral:rRNA from 1 species